UUUGUUGUGUUGGGACUGGAAGGAUCAUUAAAGAAAUUUAAUAAUUUUGAAAAUGGAUUUUUUUGUUUUGGCAAGAGCAUGAGAGCUUUUACUGGGCAAGAAGACAAGAGAUGGAGAGUCCAGCCGGGCCUGCGCUUAAGUGCGCGGUCUUGCUAGGCUUGUAAGUUUCUUUCUUGCUAUUCCAAACGGUGAGAGAUUUCUGUGCUUUUGUUAUAGGACAAUUAAAACCGUUUCAAUACAACACACUGUGGAGUUUUCAUAUCUUUGCAACUUUUUCUUUGGGCAUUCGAGCAAUCGGGGCCCAGAGGUAACAAACACAAACAAUUUUAUCUAUUCAUUAAAUUUUUGUCAAAAACAAGAAUUUUCGUAACUGGAAAUUUUAAAAUAUUAAAAACUUUCAACAACGGAUCUCUUGGUUCUCGCAUCGAUGAAGAACGCAGCGAAAUGCGAUACGUAAUGUGAAUUGCAGAAUUCCGUGAAUCAUCGAAUCUUUGAACGCACAUUGCGCCCCUUGGUAUUCCAGGGGGCAUGCCUGUUUGAGCGUCAUUUCCUUCUCAAACAUUCUGUUUGGUAGUGAGUGAUACUCUUUGGAGUUAACUUGAAAUUGCUGGCCUUUUCAUUGGAUGUUUUUUUUCCAAAGAGAGGUUUCUCUGCGUGCUUGAGGUAUAAUGCAAGUACGGUCGUUUUAGGUUUUACCAACUGCGGCUAAUCUUUUUUUAUACUGAGCGUAUUGGAACGUUAUCGAUAAGAAGAGAGCGUCUAGGCGAACAAUGUUCUUAAAGUUUGACCUCAAAUCAGGUAGGAGUACCCGCUGAACUUAAGCAUAUCAAAACCGCGAAGAAAACGG
rnacentral:rRNA from 1 species